CCCGCGGUUUGUUCUCACGUUCCCCGAACCCCCAUGCAAGCAGGUCUCCUUCCCAGCGGUUUGCUCCGGUGUUCCCCGAACCCCCCUGCAAGCAGGUCUCCUUCCCCGCGGUGUGCUGUCGCGUUCCCCGAACCCCCGUGCAAGCAGGUCUCCUUCCCAGCGGUUUGCUCCGGUGUUCCCCGAACCCCCCUGCAAGCAGGUCUCCUUCCCAGCGGUUUGCUCCGGUGUUCCCCGAACCCCCCUGCAAGCAGGUCUCCUUCCCAGCGGUUUGCUCCGGUGUUUUUUGAACCCCCGUGCAAGCAGAUCUCCUUCCCCGCGGUGUGCUGUCGCGUUCCCCGAACCCCCCUGCAAACCGCGGGGAAGGAGAUUUGCUUGCACGGGGGUUAG